rnacentral:tRNA from 1 species
CAGAUUAUAGCAUAUAUUUAAUGUAUUUUACUUACACUAGAAAGAAAUUUUUUUUAAUCUGA